rnacentral:rRNA from 1 species
AUGGCCGCCGGCCUGGAUAGUCUUCCGCUCCCUGAAGCUAGGCAAUGGCCGCCGACCAGCAUGCGCACUCUCUCAGCAGCACACACUACACACACAGCCUCUACCGCUAUAUAUACAGCCAUUGCUGCGCUCCUAAGAUCCAUCCAAGCAUCCAACUACAACAAGUCCCAUCCACCACACUUCACACUUGCUACUCACACCACACACAAAUCAAUCAGCUUCCGGCAAGGUUCGAGUUCAAUGGAGGGAGGUGGCGUCGGCAAGGCGGGCUCGGCGGAGGACAGCGCUGCGAGGCGGGCUCAGGAGUGUCACAUGUGCCGCAUCUGCAAGAGGGGCUUCACCACCGCCCAGGCGCUCGGAGGGCACAUGAACGUCCACCGCCGCCGCGAGGCCGAGGCCGAGGCACCGCCGGCUGGCGCUCAAGUCGACGGUGGCCGCGCCGGUGGGUCGCAGAAGGCAGGUCCCGGGGGCGAGGGCAACGACGAGGUGGACUUGGAGCUGAGGCUCUGGACGUCCUUCUUCUUUAUUUUCCGUGUAAAUAUGUGUGUGGACAUACGUGGUCAACGUAGUGUACAUACUGUAGAAAGCAUUGUGAUUCACCGCGUCAGCUAUAUCCAGCUCUCUGGCUGGAUCACCGCCCCUAAGAGAGAAGAAAACCCAUUCUGGUUGCGAAACAAUACCAAAUUACACGCCUCCACAACACGCAGGUGCUCAAAAGACAGGGCUUAA